AACACCGUUUCUCUCCACUCUUCUGCAUGUUGCAGCUUGAUACGCCUCCAGCGACGGAUUCUGCAGGAUUCAUGUCAAGUCAACCCAAGCACAGCGCACAAUAACACAACUGCUGGGAUAUUCAAAUACAUUUACAUUUCUAUUUCAUGGGCCUGGAGUGGUGGUUUACAAGUGAGAGAAGGAGAGACGGAGAGAAGAGCUACUGUGUAUCACCUGCUAAUCAGAUCCUCAGUUUAUGCUCCAAGGCCCUCGAUGAAAACACUUGAAAAUAUGGUAGAUUUAGCCAACCAGCUGAUACUCUCACAUAAGAACAAUCUGUUAGACCUCUUACAAGAAACUGCUGAGGAACUGAGAGUUUUACAACCAGUAAAAGCAGGAGAAGAAACAGGACCUGAGCAAUCCUCUAAUGGCCGUAGACAUUCAGCUGGACUUCACACAAGACUUUUCUUCAGAAGACUUUUCUAGGUCCUCAGGACAUUUUGUGAGCUACACACCCAGAGAGUGUGUGUGCUGAGAGAGGUUCUUUGCAGUACAGGAAACACACUCACUGAGCGUAGGAUGUACUCUAAUUUGGUGCACACACACCCAGACACUGAGUCUCGAGAGACAACAGCUGAUGUGGGUAAGUGCUUCACGAGAAGCUUGAGAUGUUUGUGAAGGAAGGAGUGUUUCCAAACUGUGUGUGUGUGUGUGUGUGUGUGUGUGUGUGUGUGUGUGUGUGUGUGUGUGUGUGUCUAGUGUGUGUGUGUGUGUGUGUGUGUGUGUGUGUGUGUGUGUGUGUGUGUGUGUGUCUUGCUUUGUCUCAAAGCUCUGUUGGCAUGACUGUGACGGUGUAGCCAUGCAUAGCAUUCUUAUGUACUAAGUGCAUAAAACAGUUUAAAUAAAUAUAUUUAAAAUAUAUAUAUAUUUAUAUAUAUAUAUACAAAGCCGAUUCCAAAAAAAGUUGGGACACUGUACAAAUUGUGAAUAAAAACAGAAUGCAAUGAUGUGGAAGUUUCAAAUUUCAAUAUUUUAUUCAGAAUACAACAUAGAUGACAUAUCAAAUGUUUAAACUGAGAAAAUGUAUCAUUUUAAGGGAAAAAUAAGUUGAUUUUAAAUUUCAUGGCAUCAACACAUCUCAAAAAAGUUGGGACAAGGCCACGUUUACCAUUGUGUGGCAUCCCCUCUUCUUUUUAUAACAGUCAUCAAAC
rnacentral:lncRNA from 1 species